rnacentral:rRNA from 1 species
GGAGUUAUCCGGUGCUUCUUCUGUGAGUGAUGUCCUUCCUGCCGGUUAUUGACCCGCAGGCCUUCUUCCUCACUGAAAGUGCUUUACAACCCGAAGGCCUUCUUCACACACGCGGCAUGGCUGGAUCAGGGUUGCCCCCAUUGUCCAAUAUUCCCCACUGCUGCCUCCCGUAGGAGUCUGGGCCGUGUCUCAGUCCCAGUGUGGCUGAUCAUCCUCUCAGACCAGCUACGGAUCGUCGCCUUGGUGAGCCGUUACCUCACCAACCAGCUAAUCCGACAUAGGCUCAUCCGAUAGCGCGAGGCCCGAAGGUCCCCCGCUUUCCCCCGUAGGGCGUAUGCGGUAUUAGCCUGGGUUUCCCCAGGUUAUCCCCCACUACCGGGCAGAUUCCUAUGCAUUACUCACCCGUCCGCCGCUCGCCACCAGGGAGCAAGCUCCCCGUGCUGCCGCUCGACUUGCAUGUGUUAGGCCUGCCGCCAGCGUUCAAUCUGAGCCAGAAUCAAACUCUGA